rnacentral:sRNA from 1 species
ACGAGGACAGGGUGCGCGUCUGGCAGCUGUACGGUGUGCGGGAGUCUGUGUCUCCCACGUCGCAGCCCGAGGAGCCUCCCCUGCUGCCGGAGCCCCCAGACAACCGGUCCAGCGUCCCGUAAGCCCUGGGCCCACGGUCACCACCCACUGGGGUCUGUCUGUCCUCAUCCCCGUCCAACGCAACAUUUGCCCCAAAUCGUGGCUCAGUGUCCUGGGAAACGCACAGCUGUGUGGCCGACUGAGCCCCCAGUGACGUUUUGUCUUUUCUUAAACCCCUUCUAAUACCGGCCCUCCCCUGCCAGGGGCCCCCACACAGAAAUGAGAACUUCAGACAAGGUUUCCUCUCCCCCUCAUCCCUGUCAGCCACGUGACAAGCAGCCCAGCUUGAUGAAUGUUUCAUCAAGCCCAUGGAUUCCUAGCAUCAGGAAGUCAGACAGGGCCCGCGAGUGUCUGGCCUGUGCCCCCAGCGGGAGGGACGUUCACUGCCUGGGCGCACAUCUGGUGCCAGGGCUGGGCCCAACUGGGACGGCCAUUGGGGCUGCUCCGUGAGGCAUGACCCUCCCACAGCAACUGGAUUCCGAGUGAAGUUGUCCUGAGAGCUGGUAUUGCCAGAGGCCAGUAGAAGCUGUGACCUUGUGUCACCCAGCCUCAGAUGUCGCAGGACUAUACGUGUAACCCUCCGGGUUAAAGCUGUGAAGGAGCCAUGCUCUGUGUCGAGUCAUCUCUCGGUGGACAUGCACCUUGUCCCUGAUC